GGCCCAGAUCGUUUACCGUGAAAAAAUUAGAGUGUUCAAAGCAGGCAGAUCCAAUUUUCUGCCACCGAAUACAUUAGCAUGGGAUAAUGGAAUAGGACCCUGUCCUCCUAUUUUCAUUUGGUUUUGGCAGCGCGAGGACUAGGGUAAUGAUUAAUAGGGAUAGUUGGGGGCAUUAAUAUUUAAUUGUCAGAGGUGAAAUUCUUGGAUUUAUGAAAGAUUAACUUCUGCGAAAGCAUCUGCCAAGGAUGUUUUCAUUAAUCAAGAACGAAAGUUAGGGGAUCGAAGACGAUCAGAUACCGUCGUAGUCUUAACCAUAAACGAUGCCGACCAGCGAUUAGGAGACGUUGAAUACAAAACACCACCAUCGGUGCGGUCGUCCUUGGCGUCGGUCUUUCGGGGCCGGCGCGGGGACGGCUUAGCCCGGUGGCACCGGUGAAUGACUCCCCUAGCAGCUUGUGAGA
rnacentral:rRNA from 1 species